rnacentral:rRNA from 1 species
AGUGAACGCUGGCGGUAGGCCUAACACAUGCGAGUCGAACGGCAGCACAGUAAGAGCUUGCUCUUACGGGUGGCGAGUGGCGGACGGGUGAGGAAUACAUCGGAAUCUACUUUUUCGUGGGGGAUAACGUAGGGAAACUUACGCUAAUACCGCAUACGACCUACGGGUGAAAGCAGGGGAUCUUCGGACCUUGCGCGAUUGAAUGAGCCGAUGUCGGAUUAGCUAGUUGGCGGGGUAAAGGCCCACCAAGGCGACGAUCCGUAGCUGGUCUGAGAGGAUGAUCAGCCACACUGGAACUGAGACACGGUCCAGACUCCUACGGGAGGCAGCAGUGGGGAAUAUUGGACAAUGGGCGCAAGCCUGAUCCAGCCAUACCGCGUGGGUGAAGAAGGCCUUCGGGUUGUAAAGCCCUUUUGUUGGGAAAGAAAAGCAGCAGGUUAAUACCCCGCUGUUCUGACGGUACCCAAAGAAUAAGCACCGGCUAACUCCGUG